UGUUUCGGCAAGGGGGUCAUCCCGACUUACCAACCCGAUGCAAACUGCGAAUACCGGAGAAUGUUAUCACGGGAGACACACGGCGGGUGCUAACGUCCGUCGUGAAGAGGGAAACAACCCAGACCGCCAGCUAAGGUCCCAAAGUCAUGGUUAAGUGGGAAACGAUGUGGGAAGGCCCAGACAGCCAGGAUGUUGGCUUAGAAGCAGCCAUCAUUUAAAGAAAGCGUAAUAGCUCACUGGUCGAGUCGGCCUGCGCGGAAGAUGUAACGGGGCUAAACCAUGCACCGAAGCUGCGGCAGCGACGCUUAUGCGUUGUUGGGUAGGGGAGCGUUCUGUAAGCCUGUGAAGGUGUGCUGUGAGGCAUGCUGGAGGUAUCAGAAGUGCGAAUGCUGACAUAAGUAACGAUAAAGCGGGUGAAAAGCCCGCUCGCCGGAAGACCAAGGGUUCCUGUCCAACGUUAAUCGGGGCAGGGUGAGUCGACCCCUAAGGCGAGGCCGAA
rnacentral:rRNA from 1 species